CUCCGCCACGCCAUCCCUUCGCCAAGCAGAAGACGCUCGCGGAAGGUCAAAUCCACUCGGACGCUCCGACCCCAACAAGCAACACGCCGCCCGAAGAGGAGUCCACCGAUUCCUCGCUAAUGGACGACGAGAACGUGCCAAAAGCUAGGAAGCGACGCAUUCAUCUCCCGUUCGGUAAAAAGGCUAAAACGCCUGCGUGACGUCGCUGCCGCCAGGAGCUGCGAUCGCUCUGCCCGCAAUUGCUUUCUAGCCGCGGCGUCUAUCAAGUGAAUGCACAAUAAGUGUCGAUUGCAACGGUCAUGACGUAGCAUUUUACAUCGAUAUUAAUAUUUAAAUAGAUUAACGCCCUUAUUCCUAAAAAAUAAAACGCCCUCAGAUACAGUUUGCCUAUUAUAUAUAGGGUUUUGUAAUUUUCUUUCAAAUCAACAAAAAAGGUUAUUAGAUGUUUCACGUUUUUAUGAAUAAGGAGCAAAAUCGUUUUUAUUUUGUUUUUGUACAAUUGUACGCAUUAAUUGAUAUAGUUAAUUAUAACAAAUUACUAUUAUUUAUACAACAAUAAACUUGGCAAUUCAGUAACAAAUAGCUCGCUGGCUCUGCAUUAUUAUUUUGUAUGGCUAUAUUUUACAUAAAUAAGGAAUGAAGACUUCCACCGGAAUCUGUAACUAGUCGGGCAACACCGAAGGCGAGUACCGUAUAUUAGUUAACAAUAUCAAUUAUAAUUAUUUAAAUUGAGAAUAAAAUUAAUAAUAUAUUGUUUAACAUAGCUCAAGUUGCCAAUCGCAAAAUUUAUGUAAUAUUAUAGUAGUUUUCCAUCACUGGUAUGGUAGCUUGUUUUAAAAAAAAGGCUCGUAUUUUUCUGAUUUCUUAAACAUAAUUUUUUAGUAUUAUCUGCUGUUUUUAAAGAUUCUGAACUCUAAGUAUCAGAUUGCCUCGGUGCAAUCCUUUCUAUAUAUGUAUAUAUAUUUUUUACGUAUUAUUUGCACGUUUAAUAAAAUGCUUAGUCAUGACUGUUCGGUGAUCAAUUAUGGCUGAGCCAUACAAUUGUCAUGUCGAAUUGCAAUCAAUAAAUUCAUAUUUGUAAAACAAUGUAAUUAUAUAAGACUACAUAUAUGACAUCGUAUGUCUUCCUCAUAGUUAAAUUUAUAAAAAAAGUUUUUUUUUCAUAACCCGGUUUUUGAUUGUGUGUAGUUCGUGCUGGCAACAUUUUAUUCAUUGACUGAAUAAUUUAUUUCGACUUUUUAUAACGUUCAGAUAAACAAGGCAAUUUUAACCCUUCUUUGCAUAAUGGUGGAAAUUUCCAUCAUAACAUUGAAUGCCCAAAAAUUAUAUAAAAGAACAAGUUCACUGUAAGUUGAUCGUGUUUGGAUACCUUUUUAAUGUCCAUUGCAGAAAAAAAAAACAUAGCUAUAAAAUUAAUUUUUUUAACCAUUUUUCCUUUAAUUUUGAACAUGAAUGAUAUCACCUUGAUUUAUUACAUCAAUAUAAAAAAAUCAUGCAAAGAAGGGUUAAUAUUAUUAUUUACAGGCGAUUUGAUUUGCCUACUGUUUUUAAUGUAUCAACAACACAAGUUGAUUUCUGUAUGAAGAUAUCCUAGGAAUUCCAUACUUUAUUUCUAUUUAGAACUUCAUAUAUUGAAAUAUUACACCUAAUAUGUGUAUUAUUGUUUUUAUUUUCAUCGAGUACUAGACUUAAUACAAAUUGGCAACAUAUUGCCUGCUUCCAUUGGCAUCAAUUAUCAAAUAUUAUAUAUAAAAUAUUUAUCAAAAACAUCAAUGAAUAGAUAAAUAAUAAAAAUACAGGGGGAUUAGUGUCACUACAAAAAAAGGUAUGUUUAUACAUACUUUUUUAAUUAAGUGUAUAUAGUGGACAGCUCCAUAAGGAAUUGGGAUAAUUCGACUUUGAUAUGCAUCUCAUUUGUCCCAAUUGAAAGUAAAAUAAAACUGUGGAACUUUUGGAGUAUUCCAACCUUCUUAUUCAUAACUAAAACGUUCUACAAGCCGACAUUAACUAUUAAGAUGUUUUGUCAUCGUCUUUCAUAUUGAGAAAUUAGUGCAAAUGAAAAGGACAAAAUUCUUUAAUAGCUAAGCUUAUAAAGGUUUGACGUUAUAAAUAAGGACUUAUAUAUACUUUAUAGUAAUAUAUAGUCAUGUAAUAACGAUGUCCUGUUUCAAUUUGAGCAAUUACGAUUACAUAUGAAAAUGUAUUAGAUGUAUUAUUUGCGAUAAUAGAUUUAUAUACUAUUUCCCCAAUGUAUAUAUAUAUAUAUAUAUAUAUAUAUAUAUAUAUAUAUAUAUAUAUUUGUAGUUACGUAUCUUUGUACAUAAAAGUAAUUGUCGCAAAGGGCUUCGAGCCAGACAAUUGUGACUUCUGUCAUGAUUUAUCGACAGAGGUAAUAACGUAUGGGUGGCCCCAAUAUAUACAAUGAAACGCUGUCAAUUUGGAAUGUUGUCUAUUGAAAUCCAUUUCCUAAAUUAACAAUGUUAUCCUUUACAUCCCAAUUUUAACUAAAGUAUAACUAUAUUAUAUAAUUUGGUAUGAAAUACCAGUAUUUAAUUUUUAUUUGAUAUGACUGCCCAUGCUUUCAUGUAUGUCAUAUGUGGAUCAUUGUAUAUCAUAUCAUUUCUAUGAUAUAUCUAUUAUAUGUAUAUCAAUUUCAUUACUUAUGAGUAUGAGAUACAAGCCUACAUUAAGAGGUCGUCUACACUAAGAAUCGAGAAAGUCCUGAUUUCCUAUCAAAUUUUUGUUACUAGCCUGCGGGAAUAUCUGCAGUUUCGCUUCUGGUACUAUUAUAUCUUAUUGCCAUGAAAUUUUUGGAAAUACCCAAAUAAUAAUAAAUAAUGAAUAUUGAAUAAUAAAGUAGGUACUUUUUAUUUGGCGGGAGAUUGCGACGUUAUUCUUGAGCAAAGGAAGUUUGUUAUUAUUGCCUCAAAUGUAUUAUUCAGCUAUGGCAACCCUAAGCAUACGUCAAAUCAACUCGAAAGUAUUAAGGUUGUACAACCCUAAUAUUUUAAUUUGCCUCGAUUUCAAGUUGACGUAGGAAAAACGUUGACAUGUGACUUACAGUUAUUAUUUUUGCGCUAUUAAAUUAUGAACACUCUGGAAACAUAGAGAAAAUAACAAUAAUUGUAACUUAGAUUAUUUCUAGUGAGUGUUCAUAAUGACGUGUGUUUAUGUAGCUCGUUUUUUAUUCACUUGUUUGGUUUGAUGUGUUGUAUAGGUAUUAUUAUUAUUAAAAAAAAAAAAAUAGCUAUAAGUCACUUGUGGUAGAAAUUAAACGUUGUCCUACACAUGGGAAUCCUACUUUUACCCCGGUAAAAAAAUCCUUUGUCUCGACUUUCUAUGUUUUUAAGAGCGUUUACCGUUUACUUACCGAAGUGUGGCGACGUCAUAAUUAUAUAUAAAUUUUUAAAAAUAAUUUAUCAUUUUUUAAUAUUUUUUAUUAUUUUCUUAAGUGUUUUGCUAGCGAACUAAAACGUGAAUUAUUAUCUUGCCUUUCCCCAUUUAUUUAGAGUGGGCGCAGUAUGUCUUCUUCUUCCACAAAGCCCUGUCAGUUGUCAUUUCCGAGCUCACUGCUCUUUUAUCCAUAUCAUCUUUUACACAGUCCUUCCACCCUUUUUUUCCAGUUGUCCCCUGCCUUUACAUCCAUCCACUUUCAUAACUGUUUCUUUGAAACAUGGCUUUCGUUUCUGCGCAUAGCAUGACCAUACCAAGAUACUCUAUUACUUCGCAACUUCUCCGUUGCGAAUUAAAACAGUAAUUAUAUCUAACAUGAAAAAUUUUAUACCUCAUUAUAUUUUGCGUUUAACAAAAUACAUAUUUGCCAUCAAAAUUUAAAUUUUCAAUGACAGCUUAAUAAGAAUAUUAUUGCUUGAUUAACGUAUUAAUUCACUAGUAGAAGACAUUUUAAAUAACAAUCAAUCAGAAACAUUGAAAAAUGUUAAAAAAGAAUUCAAUUGUCUUUGAAAAUUAUUUAUAAUUGACGACGUUUCCAUAGUUCGUUAUGAACGCUCUUAAGGCGGGAGUUAAUCCUCAUAUAUUUAAAGUCCGGUAAAAAAAACCUCUAAAUUUGUACACGUAUACGUGUUGUGCGAAUAAGUGGCUGAUAUAGAGGAAAGUUUGCUUUUACCGUGUAACCGCGGUCUAUCGUUUAUAAUGGUCGCCGAAUCGCGUCAUUCCCUGACCUUAGUAUAGCGAUAUUGUUCUUAGCUGUACGUAGAUUAAUUUAAGGCAAUUUUGGUGCUAAAUUAACAUUUUCAGACUGAGACAGUGCACGGCUCAAAGUUUUAUAGAAAUAUUGAUUUUUCAUUAAUUUACUGUUGUUAUUAUGAAAAGGUUUGUCUUUCAUCGUCCACGGAUUUAUCAUAAAUCCGCAGUUGAAAUUGUAAGUUAAGCUAUGUAUUCACUAGGUUAUGAUUGAGGCAACACAUUAUAUUUAUUUAGUAUUGUGGAAUUGCCAUAAGUCAAAAAUCCCUAAAGAAAAUAAAAUCAUCAACAAACAUUAUUUUAUGAUAUAUUUACCCUUGUCUAAGGGAGGUUCAUUUUUUCUAGAUAGCAGAGAUUUGCAUCGUUGUUGCGCAUCACCUAAUGAAUACAUACAAUGCUUAGUAUAUAAUUGAAUAUCAACUUGUAAAUUAUGGAUAAACCUUAAAAAUAAUUGUUGUAUAAUUGUGAUCAUUCGAUAAGCUGCCAUAUUUAAAAGCUGCAUUAGAGUGGUUGUGGCACUUAGAUUUUUUGGUAUUUGUUCAAUAAGCUUAAGCACCUAUUCAGUGUUAAAGAGAAAAAAAUCUAGAAACCGGUUACGUCAAUGCAAUCGAGCGUAAGAAUGCAUGCACUUAAUCGAAAUUAUUAGUGUAAUAGUGAAAUGCCUACAUUAUUUAUUGAGUACAAAAAGAAAUAUUGACAUGUUGAAAUGUCAGGUUAUUUGUAAUGAAUUAUAGAAAAAAUGUAAAUGAUCUACUUUGUGAAAGUUUUUAUAAUCCAUAAACAAAAUAUCUUGUCCAGAUUUAAACUUGGUCAAACGUCAAAAGAUGUCGCUUUUCAAACGAAAGCAAUAAUCUUUUCACACAUAUUUGAAAAGAGAAAACAUUAAUCCCGAUAGUUCGUAAUACAGUAAUCUCCUGAUUACUUGGUAUUUUUAGAAACGAAGAUAACUUUAUUGUGAUUAUUUAGCGACUUCUUAUUUACAUAUAUAUUAUGUAUAUAAGUUAUCAAAUAUAAUUCUAAAGAUAUUUUGUCAAAACUUACUAAUCUUUAUCUUUAGCUUGUGAUCGUCUUAUUUGUAUAUACACCUACCUACUUAGUAAUUUGUUAUAAAUGUAAGCGUAAAAAUUAUUAAUUCGAAAUAUGAGGACGAUCUAUGUUGAACAGUGGUUGUGAUGAAUUAAUUUAUUAUAAAUAAACUUUGUCAAGUUGAAUGGAUUUGAUGUUGGUACAUAUAUAUAUAUGGAUAUAUGGAUAUGGUCUCAAUGGUCUAUAUAAGAGUAAUAAUUAUAACCUACUCCAUGCUGGUAAACCUUCUGAUUACAACUAGUAAAAAUUAAAUACGUCACAAAGUAGAUCUUUAUUUUAGAUAUUAUACUAUAGAAUUUUUUUUCACAACUGUAUAUUUUAUGAACAGAUCUGACCGCGUAAUGUUAAAAAGACAAAUCGUGAUACCUAAAUAUAUUGUUACAUCUUUGAAAAUUAAUAAAGUGAUCUUACGAA
rnacentral:lncRNA from 1 species